rnacentral:tRNA from 1 species
GCUGGAGUAGCUCAGUUGGCCAGAGCAGCGGUUUUGUAAACCGCGGGUCGAGAGUUCGAAUCUCUCCUCCAGCUCCA